rnacentral:rRNA from 1 species
ACGCCUACGGGAGGCAGCAGUGGGGAAUAUUGCACAAUGGGGGAAACCCUGAUGCAGCAACGCCGCGUGAAGGAAGACGGUUUUCGGAUUGUAAACUUCUGUUCUUAGUGAAGAAGAAUGACGGUAGCUAAGGAGCAAGCCACGGCUAACUACGUGCCAGCAGCCGCGGUAAUACGUAGGUGGCAAGCGUUGUCCGGAAUUACUGGGUGUAAAGGGAGCGCGGGCGGGAAGCCAAGUCAGCUGUGAAAACUACGGGCUUAACUUGUAGACUGCAGUUGAAACUGGUUUUCUUGAGUGAAGGAGCG